GGUUGUUAAAAAUGUGUUCAGGACAUAGCAGAGAUUGAGAAGACGCAGGAGGAGUUAAAGAUGAAAUUGCACGAACUGAGAAAACAUCGGGAGCGAGACCAGCAGCAGCUCCGUGACGAGAUAAGAAGCCAAGUUAAAGCCGCCGCGGAGCAGCUGCGCAUGGAUAUGCGGAGAGGAGAGGAGACACACACGGAUGUUCAGGAGGAUGUUCAGGAGGAUCUCUGCCAGGAGCUGCAGCUCUCCUCUCUGAUGGACAGCUGAGCCUCACACACCUGUCGCCUUUUUGUUUUAUCAGUAAAAACAAAUAUUGGUGUUUAUUAGUUACACAACCAAAUGAUACGACUACACACGUGUCUGUGUUUGUUUGCUUUGUUUUUCUUCAUCUUGUUAUUGUUGACAUUUAGAUUUUUCAGACCGUGUGUAAGACUUCACACAUGCAGGAGGGUCCUCUGUACACUACAGCCUCUAGAGCUGAUAUUUAUGGUUGUUGCUACGAAAUCAAUAAACAAAUAAAUACAAAUCAUAAGGUA